CUACGGGAGGCAGCAGUGGGGAAUCUUGCACAAUGGAGGAAACUCUGAUGCAGCGAUGCCGCGUGAGUGAAGAAGGCCCUUGGGUUGUAAAGCUCUUUCGUCGGGGAAGAAAAUGACUGUACCCGAAUAAGAAGGUCCGGCUAACUUCGUGCCAGCAGCCGCGGUAAUACGAAGGGACCUAGCGUAGUUCGGAAUUACUGGGCUUAAAGAGUUCGUAGGUGGUUGAAAAAGUUAGUGGUGAAAUCCCAGAGCUUAACUCUGGAACUGCCAUUAAAACUUUUCAGCUAGAGUAUGAUAGAGGAAAGCAGAAUUUCUAGUGUAGAGGUGAAAUUCGUAGAUAUUAGAAAGAAUACCAAUUGCGAAGGCAGCUUUCUGGAUCAUUACUGACACUGAGGAACGAAAGCAUGGGUAGCGAAGAGGAUUAGAUACCCUCGUAGUCCAUGCCGUAAACGAUGUGUGUUAGACGUUGGAAAUUUAUUUUCAGUGUCGCAGCGAAAGCGAUAAACACACCGCCUGGGGAGUACGACCGCAAGGUUAAAACUCAAAU
rnacentral:rRNA from 1 species